AGAUGAAUACGAGAGGCCCUGCUCAUCACUGCUAGACCGCCUGGGACUUUUCUUCACUGGCAUGGCCACCUGCAGCUGCUUCCAGAACCUGCCCUGUGGAUACUUGGAUUUUUCCCCUUUCCAUUUAAUGACCGUGAGCACCGUCUUAGCCCUCUUCAGCUCUUUCACCUUCGUUUCCUUCACAGCUUUGUACUGUACUAAAAUGACGUUGAUGUUGCCCCGAGAGGCCAUAUUUUCUAGGCCAGCCUUGAGCUCCAGGAGGGCUUGGGUUCCCUGGAGCACGUAGUUGGGGCUUAGAACAACCAGGAGGCGUCUGCUUUUCUGAAUGAAGCUCAAAGUCUCAUCUGUGACAACUGGGAAAGAAAACAACCAUGGGGAUUAGUGUUGGCCAAAAAC
rnacentral:lncRNA from 1 species